rnacentral:ncRNA from 1 species
AAAAAGGUUCGUCGCGAGAAGUCAGCAGAGGUCAUAGUACCAGGCGAACGCCUGGAAAGGAC